rnacentral:rRNA from 1 species
UACGAAGGGGGCUAGCGUUGCUCGGAAUCACUGGGCGUAAAGGGCGCGUAGGCGGCGCAACAAGUCACUUGUGAAAUCUCCGGGCUUAACUCGGAGCGGCCAAGUGAUACUGUCGUGCUAGAGUGCGGAAGGGGCAACUGGAAUUCUCGGUGUAGCGGUGAAAUGCGUAGAUAUCGAGAGGAACACCUGCGGCGAAGGCGGGUUGCUGGGCCGACACUGACGCUGAUGCGCGAAAGCCAGGGGAGCAAACGGG